rnacentral:rRNA from 1 species
GACGAACGCUGGCGGCGUGCUUAACACAUGCAAGUCGAACGGAAAGGCCCUGCUUUUGUGGGGUGCUCGAGUGGCGAACGGGGGAGUAACACGUGAGUAACCUGCCCUUGACUUUGGGAUAACUUCAGGAAACUGGGGCUAAUACCGGAUAGGAGCUCCUGCUGCAUGGUGGGGGUUGGAAAGUUUCGGCGGUUGGGGAUGGACUUGCGGCUUAUCAGCUUGUUGGUGGGGUAGGGGCUUACCAAGGCUUUGACGGGUAGCCGGCCUGAGAGGGUGACCGGCCACAUUGGGACUGAGAUACGGCCCAGACUCCUACGGGAGGCAGCAGUGGGGAAUAUUGCACAAUGGGCGGAAGCCUGAUGCAGCAACGCCGCGUGCGGGAUGACGGCCUUCGGGUUGUAAACCGCUUUCGCCUGUGACGAAGCGUGAGUGACGGUAAUGGGUAAAGAAGCACCGGCUAACUACGUG